rnacentral:rRNA from 1 species
UACGUAGGUGGCAAGCGUUGUUCGGAAUUACUGGGCGUAAAGCGCGCGUAGGCGGCUCUUCAAGUCAGACGUGAAAGCCCCGGGCUUAACUCGGGAACUGCGUUUGAUACUGUCGAGCUAGAGUGUGGAAGGGGCGAUUGGAAUUCCGUGUGUAGCGGUGAAAUGCGUAGAUAUCCGGAGGAACACCAGUGGCGAAGGCGACUUUCUGGCCUGUUCUUGACGCUGAGGCGCGAAAGCUAGGGGAGCAAACGGG